GCCAGUGUGGCUCAGUGUUUAGAGUGUCGGCCUGAGGACCGAAGGGUCACAGGUUCCAUUCCUGGUCAAGGGCA
rnacentral:tRNA from 1 species